CCGUCGAAGCCGCUUCAUCCUCUCUCUCUCUCGACGCCGACGCAGGAAGAUGAUGAAUAGAUGAUGAAUAGAACUGGGACUGGCAAAGAGAACAUCCAAGUAGCUUAGACUGUGUAUGGUUCUUUCCUGUUAUAUCUUCGUGGAGGACAUUUAGCUGUGUGUGCUUAUAUCUUACUAUUUGGAGCCUGAAAGUGGAGGACAAUGAGUUGUAACUUUUUCUGUUUUGAAACAAGAAAAUGUAUCAAAUUUGUGAGAGUUUAUUUGAAAUUUGGAAGGGCUUGUUUGUGGCUGUUGUUUAUUUGAGUUUAUUUGAGAAUAAUCAAAUGCUGGCCAUGUCUAACGAGUUUGCCUGCUGUUGUUGCUGCUUGUAAUUUGUGAUAUUCAUUGUUCUUGUAAUGUUGUUGCUGCUGGACAUGUACUUGAGAA